GCUCAACCGAAGAAGUGCAUCGGAAACUGGGAAACUUGAGUGCAGAAGAGGACAGUGGAACUCCAUGUGUAGCGGUGAAAUGCGUAGAUAUAUGGAAGAACACCAGUGGCGAAGGCGGCUGUCUGGUCUGUAACUGACGCUGAGGCUCGAAAGUAUGGGUAGCAAACAGGAUUAGAUACCCUGGUAGUCCAUACCGUAAACGAUGAAUGCUAAGUGUUGGAGGGUUUCCGCCCUUCAGUGCUGCAGCUAACGCAUUAAGCAUUCCGCCUGGGGAGUACGGCCGCAAGGCUGAAACUCAAAGGAAUUGACGGGGGCCCGCACAAGCGGUGGAGCAUGUGGUUUAAUUCGAAGCUACGCGAAGAACCUUACCAGGUCUUGACAUACUAUGCAAAUCUAAGAGAUUAGACGUUCCCUUCGGGGACAUGGAUACAGGUGGUGCAUGGUUGUCGUCAGCUCGUGUCGUGAGAUGUUGGGUUAAGUCCCGCAACGAGCGCAACCCUUAUUAUCAGUUGCCAGCAUUAAGUUGGGCACUCUGGUGAGACUGCCGGUGACAAACCGGAGGAAGGUGGGGAUGACGUCAAAUCAUCAUGCCCCUUAUGACCUGGGGCUACACACGUGCUACAAUGGAUGGUACAACG
rnacentral:rRNA from 1 species